UACGUAGGGUGCAAGCGUUGUCCGGAAUUACUGGGCGUAAAGCGCUCGUAGGUGGUUUGUCGCGUUGUUCGUGAAAUCUCACGGCUUAACUGUGAGCGUGCGAGCGAUACGGGCAGACUGGAGUACUGCAGGGGAGACUGGAAUUCCUGGUGUAGCGGUGAAAUGCGCAGAUAUCAGGAGGAACACCGGUGGCGAAGGCGGGUCUCUGGGCCGUAACUGACGCUGAGGAGCGAAAGCGUGGGGAGCGAACAGG
rnacentral:rRNA from 1 species